CACGGAUCAGCCAGCCAGCUGAGGAAAAGCCUCAAGGCCAUGGCAAGGAAAGAGGCAAGGGCACCCAGGAGGCGAGAAGCCAUCUGAGCCAUUGAGAAGGAAACAACAAGAGAAGGCAAGGGAAGCAAAGAAAAGUCAUUCAAAAAAAUCCACAGAAAAAUAAGAAAAAGCAAGCAAGCAAAAAAAAAAAAACACCACAAAUGGAAAACCAAAUGAAGAAAAAGCAAAGCAAAACAACAAAUGGAAUAAAAAGAAAAAGCAAAAAGAAGUCAGCAAAGGAAAGAUAAAAACGACGGAUCAGGAGGGCUAAUAGCAGGUAAGUAAAGGCGAGGUAAGGGGAAGGUGACGAGCAUGGGGGCAAGGAAGGGGGCAAGGAAGGGGGCAAGGAAGGGGGCAAGGAAGGGGGCAAGGAAGGGGGCA
ensembl:lncRNA